GUGUUUGCAUAUUGAUCAGAUGCUUCAGUGCUCUGAGAGUGUUUAUAGUGCUGUGAGUUUAACACUUCAUCACUGACACACACAACAAUCUUCAUCAACAUGACCUUCAUCAUCAUCUUCAUCUGGACUCUCACAGCGUUUGCUCAAGAGUGUAGAGGACAGAUCAGCGUCACUCAGAGUCCCUCAACGACAGCAGCUCAACCAGGAGAAACAGUGAAGAUCAGCUGUAGAACCAGCAGAGAUGUGUAUUACAGUAGCGUUUAUUAUUUCAGCUGGUACUUACAGAAACCUGGAGAAACUCCUAAACUCUUGAUUUUUUGGGCAAGCACCCUCCAGUCAGGAACUCCAUCUAGAUUCAGUGGCAGUGGAUCUAACAGUGAUUUCACUCUGACCAUCAGUGGAGUCCAGACUGAAGAUGCUGGACAUUAUUACUGUCAGAGUUUCCACUACAUCAACAGUAACUAUGUGUUCACACAGUGA